CAAGAACGGAUCGCAUUGGAAAACCAA
rnacentral:piRNA from 1 species